UGGGGAAUAUUGCGCAAUGGGCGAAAGCCUGACGCAGCAACGCCGUGUGAGGGAUGAAGGCUUUCGGGUCGUAAACCUCUGUCGGAAGGGAAGAACGGUUGGUGGUCCAAUAGGCCGCCAAUUUGACGGUACCUUUAGAGGAAGCACCGGCUAACUCCGUGCCAGCAGCCGCGGUAAUACGGAGGGUGCAAGCGUUAUUCGGAAUUACUGGGCGUAAAGCGCACGUAGGCCGCUUUGUAAGUCAGGGGUGAAAUCCCACGGCUCAACCGUGGAACUGCCCUUGAAACUGCAGAGCUCGAAUCCUGGAGAGGGUGGCGGAAUUCCUGGUGUAGGAGUGAAAUCCGUAGAUAUCAGGAGGAACACCGGUGGCGAAGGCGGCCACCUGGACAGGUAUUGACGC
rnacentral:rRNA from 1 species